rnacentral:misc_RNA from 1 species
GAUGAAGAACGUAGCGAAAUGCGUUAAGUAAUGUGAAUUGCAGAAUUCAGUGAAUCAUCGAGUUUUUGAACGCAUAUUGCGCCCUCUGGUAUUCCGGGGGGCAUGCCUGUUCGAGCGUCAUUAAAUAACCCUCAAGCAUAGCUUGGUGUUGGGCUUUUUUACGUCCUUGACUGGGAUGGGCCUAAAAAUUAGUGGCGAUGGCUUUUUUACUUUCAAGCGUAGUAAAUCUCGUCUUGCUAAAGAGGAAAAAGAUUUUUUUUCUGCCAAAAAUUUUAACAUUUAAAGUUGACCUCGGAUCAGGUAGGAUUACCCGCUGAACUUAAGCAUAUCAAUAAGCGGAGGA